CUUGGUCAUCAUCGAAUCCCAAUUCCCAUCACCUUCUUCUCCCAUUAUACUUUUCUUUGUUCCUCUUUCCCUCUCUCACUAAAUUCUCUGCAAAGUUAUUGAAUCCUCUUUGUUCCAAAUUAGCCUGCAGCUGUGGAUCGCACCUUGUGAUGUUCUGUUCUUUAUCUCUUUGUUGAUGGGUCAAGUGAUGCUCAAAUAAUUGAAUGUCCAAUACUGUUACUGUUGUGAGGGUGAAUUUCAGAGAUUGAUAGUACAUUUUAAGUGAAGGUCUUGCAACAUACCUCUCAUCAGCAAUCCAAAAUCAAUAAAGCAGUAAGUAAGUUACAAGAGGAACAAAAGCGUAGCUUGGAGAGAAACGCAUAAAUCCAAUCAUACAGAAAAAGAGAUGCUACAUGCUGUUUUUGAAAAAUUGGUCUGCACACACUUGUGGAUCGCACCUCCAAGAUUCAGGACGACUCCGAUGAGCACUGAUUCGGUUUUCACGGUCUUGCGCCAUGGUAUUUGAUGAUAUGUCUAAGUCACCUUAUUGGGAGUAUAUCGUUGUGUCCUCCUCCUAUUUUGGCUGCAGACAGUGAAAUCUCUAGGAGCCUUUGAGCAAGGAAUCUUCCAGAAGAAGGCCAAAUUUAUCUUACUUUGAUCACUCUGGGGCCAUUAUUCAAGACUUAAGGCCACCAUUUGGUGUUAUCAUCGUCCACACACUUAAGCUGCAAGGUAUGAUUUUCAGUUACAUGUUAUUGAUAUAUUCUUUUUUUGCUUUGUUUGGUAGACUGUUCUACCCUUUUUCUUUGAAAUUGCAGAAUAGUAAGAGUGCACGAAUCAUCAGGUGUGGCUUUGUCCACUACCGUUAUUGGACCCAUUUUUAUUCUUAUAAAUUUAAAUAAUUCAUUUGAGAAAACUUGAGGAGCAUAUUGAUAUGGAAAAUACUUUAAAAAGUACUAAUGAUACAAAACUCGCAUCCACCUUAUUAAUUUUCCUUUGGAAUUCGAAUUUUACAAGCUUGGACUUCUUUUGAUUUCUUAUGUAUUACUGUUACCAAUAUACUUUCUAUGUGAAAAAUAUUUCUCCCUAUUUUUCAUUUGAGGUGGUGUUUUUCUAUGUUUUUAUUAUUAAUAUGUUCUUCGUCUUGAAGUCAGUGAUUCAUUUGCGUUAAGCUUCUUCCAGAUUGAUUUUCCAGGCUAAAAUGGCAAGAAUUUGCCUCCUCUCACUUAAGCAUUAAUGGAAAAUAUGGGUCCAUCCAUCAAAUUUCUUUUACAAGUUUUUGUAAUUGGGAGGUUCCUUCCAUACCAUCAUAUUUAACUUUUGGUUUGUAUUUAUGUACAGUGAAGGGUGGUAAUAGCAUAAAGAGAAGCUUAGCUAACGUAGCUGGUGACCAUAUGCAAUAUAGCCGUUCAAAGUCUCUUUGUCUUGUACAUUCUGUAAAUUGCCUUUUUACGUUUUCUAUGUGUUAUUUCAAGCUUAACGUUUUCUCAUGCUCAUAUCUCAAGGAUGUAAUUGAGGUUUCUUAGAAUAGUUCAAUGGACUUUGUCUUUCGCUGAUUCAUGAGUAUAACAAUGAUUGCUUUUAACAAAUCGUGGCAACAUUUGGUGA